rnacentral:rRNA from 1 species
UUGGAGGGCAAGUCUGGUGCCAGCAGCCGCGGUAAUUCCAGCUCCAAUAGCGUAUAUUAAAGUUGUUGCAGUUAAAAAGCUCGUAGUUGAAUUUCGGGAUUGACGUGAUGGUCAUGCCUUAAGGGGUAUGAACUGUUGCUGUUGAUUUCUCACCUUCUGGAGAAACUUGAUGUCCUUAAUUGGGUGUCUUGCGGAUCCAGGACCUUUACCUUGAAAAAAUUAGAGUGUUUAAAGCAGGCAUUUUUGCUCGAAUACAUUAGCAUGGAAUAAUAGAAUAGGACGGCAUGGUUCUAUUUUGUUGGUUUCUAGGAUCACCGUAAUGAUUAAUAGGGAUAGUUGGGGGCAUUAGUAUUCAAUUGUCAGAGGUGAAAUUCUUGGAUUUAUUGAAGACUAACUACUGCGAAAGCAUUUGCCAAGGAUGUUUUCAUUAAUCAAGAACGAAAGUUAGGGGAUCGAAGACGAUCAGAUACCGUCGUAGUCUUAACCAUAAACUAUGCCGACUAGGAAUCAGACGAUGUUAAUUUUUUAAUGACUCGUUUGGCACCUUACGGGAAACCAAAGUGUUUGGGUUC